GUUUUUGUGUGGUUGUUUUCAAGUUUCAAGGAAAAUAUUGUAGCCCAAGAAUUGUCCCAGCCCAAAACUUCCAAGUUAAGCAAAAGGUCAUAAUAACUUUAUCUUCGACCUUGAAUAUUUUAGUAUGUUCUUUACUUGCUUAGUGAAAGCAUGAGUUAGAAAGUAUAUGUUAAUAUUUAAUUCCCAUCCUUUCAUUUCACAGCCUGUCUUGCUCUUUCGAGACUAGUGAAAGGGGCAGACAGAUAAAUGGUGUAUGCAAGUACACAUUUGUCUUUUAUUUGUAGGGAGAAAAAAAUGCACAUACGUAAACCUAAAAAUAAGAAUGAAUUAUCUGCCAGCCCACAAAAUUUUGUCACUGCUUUCUUCUGUUCAUUAGGAGUAGAGUUAGUUAAAAAUCUGUAUUUUAAAAUGUAGUGGGGAAUUAAAAGUCUGAAAAUGGAAAACAAAGAAGAAGGAGAAUGUAUACUAUACUCUGAUAAAAAGGAAAAGGAGGAAUUGUCCUAUAGCACAGUGGCUUAUGAAUCUGGCGUUAUCACGCAUCAGCUUGGGUUGCUGUGGUGCGGGUUCGAGCCCUGGCUUGGGAACUUCCACAAGCCUUGGGCAGGGCCAAAAAGAAAUAGGAAAACUGGAGAAAGUUAUCUCCCCUUUCUCAUCCUUCAUACCUACUACCCCCCAAAACACUUAUGAUUACUUCAAAGGAUACAUAUUUUCCAGAGCACAAGUAUACUCCAAAUAUAGUUCUAUGUAGAAUUCUCAGAUAUUCAUGCCACAACAUUUGAAAAAUUAAAAAGAAACAUGUAAGAAAUUAUGUAAUUCAGUCCUCAUAAUUUGAACAUAUCUGAAAGUUUGUAGAAACAAGCAUGAAUCAAAUAUAGUGUAUAAAGGAUGUUAAAUAUCCAAUAUUUCCUUUCCUAAUAAUAAUGCUUUGUGUCAUGAAUAUGAUUUAAUAUUACUGGAGAAAAAAUUUUAAGUGAGUUUGACAUUUUAUAUGCCUUAGAACAAUAAAUCAAAUAUAUCCUUAUAAUAAUAACUUUAACUGUUAAUAUACUAGUAUUCAUAACUUAAAAUAUCUAUUACACAUAUUCUGUUGCAUAGAGUUAAACAAUCUAUGGAGUGAUAUUUAUUUCCUUUUUUUUUUUUUUUGCUUUUUAGGGCCGCACCCGUGGCAUAUGGAGGUUGCAGACGCGGCUUGGAUCCAGUGUUGCUGUGGCUCUGGCGUAGGCCGGCAGCUACAGCUCUGAUUAGACCCCCAGCCUGGGAACCUCCAUAUGCCGCGGAGCGGCCCAAUAAAUAGCAAAAA
rnacentral:lncRNA from 1 species